rnacentral:rRNA from 1 species
UACGUAGGGUGCAAGCGUUAAUCGGAAUCACUGGGCGUAAAGCGUGCGCAGGCGGUUUUGUAAGUCUGACGUGAAAUCCCCGGGCUCAACCUGGGAAUUGCGUUGGAGACUGCAAGGCUGGAGUCUGGCAGAGGGGGGUAGAAUUCCACGUGUAGCAGUGAAAUGCGUAGAGAUGUGGAGGAACACCGAUGGCGAAGGCAGCCCCCUGGGUCAAUACUGACGCUCAUGCACGAAAGCGUGGGGAGCAAACAGG